AUUGAACGCUGGCGGCAUGCCUUACACAUGCAAGUCGAACGGUAACAGGUUAAGCUGACGAGUGGCGAACGGGUGAGUAAUGUAUCGGAACGUGCCCAGUCGUGGGGGAUAACUGCUCGAAAGAGCAGCUAAUACCGCAUACGACCUGAGGGUGAAAGCGGGGGAUCGCAAGACCUCGCGCGAUUGGAGCGGCCGAUAUCAGAUUAGGUAGUUGGUGAGGUAAAGGCUCACCACGACGACGAUCUGUAGCUGGUCUGAGAGGACGACAAGCCACACUGGGACUGAGACACGGCCCAGACUCCUACGGGAGGCAGCAGUGGGGAAUUUUGGACAAUGGGCGCAAGCCUGAUCCAGCCAUGCCGCGUGCGGGAAGAAGGCCUUCGGGUUGUAAACCGCUUUUGUCAGGGAAGAAAAGGUUCUGGCUAAUACCUGGGACUCAUGACGGUACCUGAAGAAUAAGCACCGGCUAACUACGUG
rnacentral:rRNA from 1 species